UACAGAGGGUGCGAGCGUUAAUCGGAAUUACUGGGCGUAAAGCGUGCGUAGACGGUUAUUUAAGUCGGGUGUGAAAGCCCCGGGCUCAACCUGGGAAUUGCAUUCGAGACUGAAUAGCUAGGGUACGGUAGAGGGAAGUGGAAUUUCCGGUGUAGCGGUGAAAUGCGUAGAUAUCGGAAGGAACAUCGAGUGGCGAAAGCGACUUCCUGGACCAGUACCGACGUUCAGGCACGAAAGCGUGGGGAGCAAACAGGA
rnacentral:rRNA from 1 species